UAUCCUACGGGGGGCAGCAGUGGGGAAUUUUGGACAAUGGGCGAAAGCCUGAUCCAGCAAUGCCGCGUGCAGGAUGAAGGCCUUCGGGUUGUAAACUGCUUUUGUACGGAACGAAAAAGCUUCUCCUAAUACGAGAGGCCCAUGACGGUACCGUAAGAAUAAGCACCGGCUAACUACGUGCCAGCAGCCGCGGUAAUACGUAGGGUGCGAGCGUUAAUCGGAAUUACUGGGCGUAAAGCGUGCGCAGGCGGUUAUGUAAGACAGAUGUGAAAUCCCCGGGCUCAACCUGGGAACUGCAUUUGUGACUGCAUGGCUAGAGUACGGUAGAGGGGGAUGGAAUUCCGCGUGUAGCAGUGAAAUGCGUAGAUAUGCGGAGGAACACCGAUGGCGAAGGCAAUCCCCUGGACCUGUACUGACGCUCAUGCACGAAAGCGUGGGGAGCAAACAGGAUUAGAUACCCCAGUAGUCAUC
rnacentral:rRNA from 1 species